CUCCUUCCCUGUCCGUAUACCUCAGCAAAACAGGACAAAACAAAAUGAAGCAAGGCCCUCCUUGGUUCUACAUUCCAGGAUAAAGUCAAGGGCUGAAGCCCUUGCUUGGUUGGUGGGGUUGGGGGGCAGGCGGCUGGUUUGUGGCGAAACAGCAAAAGAGACUCACUUCUGUUCACAGAGGCUGCUGUGCAGAAGGCGGAUAGAGUGGUCUUGUUUUCACGUGGCCCCUGCAGGCUGAGUUUCAUUUUGUGGUCUGUCUGCCUUAGAGAUGCUGGCACAAAGCAAAGCCUGCUUUUUAAAAAGGAAUUUGAACAUUACAGCAACUUUGAAAAUGAAAGUCCUUCAUAAACUGCUCUUCCAAGUGUGGCACCUGGUUUGGCAUCUCCUGGGAACUGGCCAGAAAUGCAGAAUUUCAGGCCCCUUCUGGCCUGACCUGCCACAUGAGAACCUGCACUUGACUGGAUCCCACGGACUCACAGGCUCCUGAGAGCAAGAAGAGCCAGCUGCAACCCUCCUGUCCGCAAGCUCGGAGAAGACAAUAAUGUCAUCGGUUGUCUGCACUUAAGAGCCAUUUAAAAUGUGCACCCUUCUAACCUCUUCCAGUCAUUACCUGCAAUUUUCAGGCCUCGUCUAAAACCAAAAUCCUCAUCAAUGUCAUUCAGCAGGAAGCUAAUAAAGGCAUCAUUAUCUUGUCUGUCAGCUGCCACUCUUGCCCCGUCUCCAACCCCAGCAGUCACGGUGAUGGUUCUAAAACAUAAACC